rnacentral:tRNA from 2 species
GGAGAGGUGGCCGAGUGGUUGAAGGCGCUCGCCUGGAAAGCGUGUAAGGGGGAAACUCCUUCGCGGGUUCGAAUCCCGCCCUCUCCGCCA